UACGUAGGGUCCGAGCGUUGUUCGGAAUUACUGGGCGUAAAGGGCGCGUAGGCGGCCUUCUAAGUCGAACGUGAAAUCCCCGGGCUCAACCCGGGAACUGCGUCCGAGACUGAAAGGCUUGAAUCCGGGAGAGGGAUGUGGAAUUCCAGGUGUAGCGGUGAAAUGCGUAGAUAUCAGGAGGAACACCGAUGGCGAAGGCAGCUCGCUGGGACGGUACUGACGCUGAGGCGACGAAAGCGUGGGGAGCAAACAGG
rnacentral:rRNA from 1 species